GCGAGCGUGGUGGAAUUGGUAGACACGCAACGUUGAGGUCGUUGUGGGGGCAACUCCUUGGAAGUUCAAAUCUUCUCGUUCGCACCA
rnacentral:tRNA from 1 species